UAAACAUGUAUAUAAUGUGAAUACGUUUGUUUUCCUCAAAAUCAGGCUUCAUUGAGUACAAAAGUCACAACUAAAUGAUGUGAAGAUUAAAUUAGGAAAAAAUAAUCAACAAUUUGCAUCCUAGAAGAGGCAAAUACAAAGCUAAUCUAAGGUUGCAGGAAAAGUGCAUCUGAGCUCUGUGGUGCUACAGCAGGAAGAUGAUGGAUAGAAGGGUAAAUCCAACUGGAGCUUUCAGAAUCUUGUUUGUAAAAAUUAUGCAACAUUAGAUAUGGACACAAGAUUGAAAUAUAUCAGAGCAAAUGUGGAUACUGAAGAUAUAUCUUUAUGAGCUGUCGAAAGUGAAGUAAAAAAAUAAAUGUUUUUCUUAACUUGUGCCCAUAAAUCAGUGAAUAAGAUGUUGUAGUGACUUGAUUGCAUGAGCAGUGCAGAGCAGGACUUUGAGAAGAUAACGCUUAGCACCUACUGGGACAAUUCACUACAUAUCCAGGCAGAGGAGAAGUGUAGAUCACAAGUGACACGCCCGUGACAGGAAAAUUGUUCCUGCUCACUCUUAUUUUGAAUUCAUACACGUUCACUUCAGCCACCUUUAUUUGAGAAGAUUUAGAUACUCCAUCCUUCAGUUGUGGCUCCACAGAGGCCUGAUUCAUGUUUACUGGUAGCUGAAAUGGAAGUGUUUACAAUGGUCACCAUCCCAGUUGGGGGAUCCCUCCGCUUUUCUCCCGGCAUUUGUUACCCUCUUAUGUUCUCAACAGAAGCAGCCAAUAAUAUAUACAGCAGCGUCUGAUCUGCAACAGUUGUGGUUUAUCACUCUGAAACUGAAGUGACUUCAGAAAUUUCAAGACACGGGGAUAAGCUCUGCCCCUUCUUUUCUAAUAGCUCUUCAGUGAAGGUAGAAAACAACUUUAGCGUGCAGAAUUGAUACUGGGAACAUGUCUUCUCCAUAUGAAAGAAAAACAUGCAGGACCAACAUUUUGGAAAGCUAAGGUGCAUUUGACAGUUAGAAAAAGAGUUUUGUCCACAGUCAGAACAGGUAGGGAAGAAGGAACAGAAAUAUGCAGUCAGGCAAGGCAGAAAGGUGGUGAAGGAUUAUAAAGAAGGCAAGAAUGACAGUUUCAGCUCUAGGUGAGCAAGUCUGAAAGGUAAAUAAUCUUAUUUUUGCCAUCAUAGGUGUUUCAGUCAUCAUUCAUCACAGAAAGACUUCAACAAGAAAGCACUCUAUUGACUCUGGCGUGCAUUUUGGUUUUCCCAGUGAGGAGACCAGAGGGAGGUAGACUUCCUCACUCAUUAAAAGAGGAGGAGAAUGACAUCAGAAUCUCCAGAGAUACUCUUGGAGAGAGUAAUAUCUGCUACAUCUGAAUGACUUCAGUUUUUCCCACCUUCUGGGCAGUGCAGCAGAUCUCAGUACAUCACAAACCUGCACAAGAUUGCUAUCUGAACACUACAAGUCUCUUCCCUCCAGGUGCCCAUCUCUGUCCAACUUUUGCAUUUUUGUGUUCAGGCCUCCUGGCAUAAGGAAGGAGAAUUGAGCCACGGGAUGGUGCAGCACCUGAGAGCUAUCAGACAUUCCCAUCUGUGUCUCAGGACCUGCCAGCACUUGCUCCUCAGAAAAUGAGCUUUGGGUUAUAUUUAGAUAUACGUGCAACAAAGCAAGGUAACACGGCAGUUAUUCUUCUCAAGCAGUUUUGUUAGGAAGCGUUUUGCAUGAUAGCUAACCACACAAACACGGCUAAUGGCUCUACCACCAGUGUAGAAUGCUCUGAUCAGCUCUUUUUACAGGCAGCUGGAGGAACAGCAGUGGGUGCGCCUGAGCAGUUUGGCCCCUCUCUUUCCUCCAACAACAAUUUCCAGAGAGAUUUAGGUAAAGGUCCUUACGUGCUGCUUUCCCAUGUACAUGUUCCCCGGGUACGAGGUACAAAUACUUCCUGCAAUGAUGAUUACACUCUUAUUACAAUGUUACACCCAUGUCUAACUUGCCCUCAGUGACUUCACCCUUAUGCAAGUUACAAAUGUAAUAACUCUUGUGAACAAACCAGCCAGCACAGUUUAACAGCUUUUAACCCUUAGCUAAGCAAUUUUAAAGUGGUACCUACAGAACUACAAACUCGUUGAAGUUCUUUGCCUACAUAAUAUCAAUGUUGCUGCUGAUGUUGUUAAGAUUCCUAAAUGUAAUGAGGCCACCAAGAGCUUUUUAAGUCAGUGUACAGCUAAGCAUCUGCAAUGGGCAAGAAAGGAGGGUAGGGCAGUGGGUGACUGUCCCCGCAGAUUCAGCUUCCUGGAAUGUUGCACACUCCUCCUUGUUCUUUUUGGUUUAAGGAUGGGGCACUUAUUGAGGCCUCCCUUCAUCAUCAUCAUGCCGUGUCCUUUUGGAACUGAAAACUUACAAAUCUAUCCAAAUUGAUACAGAUAUGGCAGUAGAGGUUUCUUUUCAUGGGGAAGGGAAAACAAGCAGCAAAAAAUAUGGAAUCAAAGGUUUUCUGUGAUGCAAUGGGGAGAAAAGAUGCACUAUGCUCCAUACUGUAGAGAACUCCCCCACACACUUUUGAUUAUUUGACAUAUUUUUACUUUUUUCACAGACAGUCAAGGAAACAUCGUAUCAGCCAGCUACCAAAGGACAGAAUUAUCAUUGUCUUAAAGUACUUUGGUCUUCUAAAACUAAACUAAGGUAUUUGACAAAAUGUCUUCUGGACCACCCUGGCAUGCUUUGAUUGUAGCCACCAGCCAGAGACUGAGAAUAUCAGGCCUUGAGGCAAGCUGUCUGUGACAGGUAAACAAGAUUAACAGAAGCUUGAACAAUUGUGGCUUCUCCCAAAAAUCCUUCCCACGUGGAUUGACAGUGCCUCUCUUCCACCCACAUUUAAUAUCAGUGAAUGCCACCAAGAAAAUGUGCCACCCACUGUCCCUUCAGAGCAGUCUCUCCAGCAGCACUGAAGCCAGACUGCUCUGAGCAGCAAGCAGCCCACACAGAGCAAUGCUGAGCAACCCGCUCUUCCACCCCACAACCCCCUGGCAUUUCUGCACACUUUCUGCUCUCCACCCUCUUCUACCUGUGUGCCUGUGCUCCCUGUGGUUAAGAGCUGUAAGAGCUGCAUUGGUGCUAGUAGGGUACAACAUGACCUAGAUGCUCCCUCAUGUCCAUCCAGAGUUGUGUUUGACAAGUCAAGGGGUGACUUUGAGACCGUACACACAUACAGAGCAGGUCCAUAGUCCAUAAGACAUGGCUUAGUGGGCAAGGUGGUGAUGGAUUGAUGGUUGGACUAGAUGAUCUUUUUCCAAUCAUAAUGAUCCUCUGAUUUUGAGAUCUCUCUGGCUGGAGCCACCCCAGGUGGCUGACGCAACAAAACAUGGGGUGUAUUUUUUUGUCAUUUUUUUGUCAUGCAGCCAGUGACAGUGGCACCCAAACACAAUGCAGCCUGGGCACUUGCCACCACUGAGGGCCAAAACACUGUCACAUGCUGUGGUUUACUGAGAAGUGUGGGGGUCAAUCAGGUCCUGACUCCAGAUAAGGCUUUGUGUCACCAUUCUAAGAGCAGGACUAUCAUCAGGUAGCACCUGGAUGCCAGCAACAUAGGCUGGCUUUCUUCCAUUAGAAAUCAGCUAAAUGAUUUUGAAGAGGUAUUCAGUGCUAUGAUGUAGCUUAUGUUUUACAGCCUGUGCUUCCCAGCUGUGCAAGCCAUGUGCUGCUGCCAGAGGGGCAUUAUCCCUGGUUAGGAGAUCACCCAGACUAAUAGGAACACCAGUAGGAAGGGCUGGAGCUCCUAUAUUCCCACAGCUAGCAAAUGAGAGUAGACACUGAGUGCUUCUGCUGUCAGACUGUUAGGAACUCAGGAAUAGGGCAUCAUAGGCAGUUAGGGAUAUGUGCACAGUGCAUGUUUGAGGGCCAGUAUGUUGUGAUUUCCUAUAUUUUGCCUGCAACAUAGUGUAUGCACACUAGUCUGAAAAAGUCAAAUGUAUUAGGCUUAAAUCUUUGCUUUCAUGACACAGGGCUUUUUUAGUGGGAUGUUUUGUUUUUCUUUCUGUUUUUAACACUGAAAAAGCAAUGAAAUUGUGGCUGAUUUAUGCACGAAAUGAGGAGCAGAAUAACAAGCCUCAUUUGCGUACUGAGUUUAGAAGUCAGUAACACUUGACAUUUGGCCUAAAGAGCAGCAAACAGGUCUAGCAUUGAGCAGGUUGGAGUGGGAAUCAGCCAUCUCCAGCUGUAUGGAGGCAGUAAGCAAAGAAAAGCCAGCUGGGUUUUUGGAUUUACCCAAAUUACAAUAGGAGGCACCUGAAAGGAAGGGAGCAUGGUCACAACAUCACACAGCUGUUGAGAAGAGGAUCUGCUGAUCAUCAGAGUAAUUCCUAUGAAAAAGGCUUUGGUAUCCUUGAGUGUACGGAAAGGAUUGCAAAGGUUCCUGCUGUAAGCUGCAUCACUGCAUGAGGCCAGAAACAUUUAUUUGCAUUUGACACUAAGGUAAGGAAGAAAAAUAAUAAUAAUAAUAAUAAAAAUGGAGGAGGAGAGGGUUCUUGUACUUAAAACCAAUUAAUUUUGAGUUUAUUAUCUUUUUUGUUUACAAGAUGUGCUUGUUCUUUUAACAUGGCGAUUCUUGAAAAUUAUUUUAGCUCUGUGCUUUUGUCUUUUCCUUCCUUCUGGGCUGACGAUUAUUGCCUGAUGCUGAGGGAGACACUUGCUCAUGCUCCUUAACUUCAGUAUUGUGUACUCGCAAGGAUUAGAGGAAGAACACAGGGCUUAAAGGUAGAACGUGAUUCUGUAGAUGGUGGCCUCAGCCUGAAGUGGGAGAAAUGAAUGGGCAAGGUGAAGAAAGCAGCCUUGAGAUUCUGCUGUCCUUUGUCAUGGAUUCUAGAUAGAGACUGAUGUUCACAGCACUGUAACAACUGAGUCAUUCACAUUAAAUUUUCCUCUGAUCCAAUAUCCCAUUGUUGACAGAGGCCAUGAAAAAAAGUACAGUAAUUGAUAUCACAUCAAAAUGA